rnacentral:rRNA from 1 species
GGAGCNUGUGGUUUAAUUCGAAGCAACGCGAAGAACCUUACCAGGUCUUGACAUCCUUUGACCACUCUAGAGAUAGAGCUUUCCCUUCGGGGACAAAGUGACAGGUGGUGCAUGGUUGUCGUCAGCUCGUGUCGUGAGAUGUUGGGUUAAGUCCCGCAACGAGCGCAACCCUUAUUGUUAGUUGCCAUCAUUUAGUUGGGCACUCUAGCAAGACUGCCGGUGAUAAACCGGAGGAAGGUGGGGAUGACGUCAAAUCAUCAUGCCCCUUAUGACCUGGGCUACACACGUGCUACAAUGGACGGUACAAUGAGUUGCGAGACCGCGAGGUUUAGCUAAUCUCUUAAAGCCGUUCUCAGUUCGGAUUGUAGGCUGCAACUCGCCUACANGAAGCCGGAAUCGC